AUGAGAGAGCAGGUAAUUGUUGGGGUCAAGGAAUUUUUUUGUACUGGUAUUAUGCCUGAAGGGGUGAACAACACCUCAAUUAUUAUUAUCCCCAAGGUAGAUAACCCCGGGCGGCUCACGGACUUUCGGCCUAUCAGUCUAUGUAACGUCAUUUACAAGGUAGUGGCAAAGUGUUUGGUAAACCGGCUACACCCUAUUCUGGAUGAUAUCAUCUCGCCAGAGAAGAGUGCCUUUGUUCCGAGACGGAUGAUUACUGAUAAUGCAUUACUUGACUUUGAGUGCACUCACUACAUUCAGCGGGAAAAGAACCCGGACAAAAGUUUUUGUGCUUAUAAAUUGGACUUGUCUAAAGCUUAUGACAGGGUUGAUCGGAUCUUCUUGGAGCGAAUGAUGCAAAAGAUGGGUUUCGCUCGCCAUUGGAUGAACUGGAUUAUGACAUGCGUCACCUCGUUGAGAUAUACAGUUAAAUUUAAUGGCACCCUCUUGGAAUCAUUUGCACGGUCGCGAGGGCUUCAGCAAGGUGAUCCUCUCUCCCCGUUUUUGUUCCUCUUUGUGGCUGACGGUCUCUCGGCUUUGUUGAAGUAUGGUGAGCAGAAGGGUGAUUAUACCCCUUUGAAAGUCUGCCGCAGAGCCCCAGGUAUAUCUCACCUAUUGUUUGCAGACGACACUAUGUUGUUCUUUAAAGCAGAGGAGGAACAAGCGCGUAAGGUACAUGAGGUCGUUCUUACUUAUGAGAGAGCUAUAGGCCAGUGCAUUAAUCCGCAAAAAUGCAGUGUAUUGUUUGGGAAAUUUUGCUCGAACAUCAACCAUGACAGGGUAUGUACAGUAUUGAAUGUUGCAUUGGCCACUUUUGAGGAGAAAUACCUAGGCCUUCCUACCCCGGACGGGAGCAUGAACAAGGGAAAAUUUCAGAACUUGCAAUCAAGACUUCUGAAGAGGAUUAUUGCAUGGGGAGACACACUUUCUCUAGCCGGCAAGGAAAUCAUGAUUAAAGCUGUGGCGCAGGUAUUAAAAUCCAAGUACUACUCGGAGGGACGCCUUGAGGACACGGUCUUCUCCAGGACUGCAUCGCCCACAUGGCAGGCCAUUCAAUAUGGCCCCGAGCUCCUGAAAAAGGGCCUUGUUUGGCAAGUGGGCAACGGACAGAGCAUCCGCAUAUGA
rnacentral:rRNA from 1 species